UACGUAGGGUGCGAGCGUUAAUCGGAAUUACUGGGCGUAAAGCGUGCGCAGGCGGUUUUGUAAGCCAGAUGUGAAAGCCCCGGGCUUAACCCGUGGGAAUGGCAUUUGGGACUGCAAGGCUUGAGUGCGGCAGAGGAGACUGGAAUUCCUGGUGUAGCAGUGAAAUGCGUAGAUAUCAGGAGGAAUACCGAUGGCGAAGGCAGGUCUCUGGGCUGACACUGACGCUCAUGCACGAAAGCGUGGGGAGC
rnacentral:rRNA from 1 species